rnacentral:rRNA from 1 species
UACGGAGGGUGCGAGCGUUGUUCGGAAUUACUGGGCGUAAAGCGCGUGUAGGCGGCCUUCUAAGUCUGAUGUGAAAGCCCACGGCUCAACCGUGGAGGGUCAUUGGAAACUGGGGGACUUGAGUGCAGAAGAGGAAAGCGGAAUUCCACGUGUAGCGGUGAAAUGCGUAGAGAUGUGGAGGAACACCAGUGGCGAAGGCGGCUUUCUGGUCUGUAACUGACGCUGAGGCGCGAAAGCGUGGGGAGCAAACAGG